GGCGAGUUCGAUGAGCAGCUUGAGCGUCGCGUCGGUGAUGCGGUUCUUCGAGAAAUCGAUGGUGAGGCCGCCGCCUUCGAAGGUCAGGCGUUCGGCGCGCGUCGGCGCGGUAUCGUUUUGCGGCGCGAACCAGUCGCGCAUACGCUC
rnacentral:tRNA from 1 species